GGCCUGUGCCAUAAGCCCCAGAUGAAAAUUGAAUUGGAAAGAAAUCUGGGUGAAGAAAAGGAUGACAAGGAGGAGCCAGGUGUAAUGGCUUGCAGCUAUAAUCACAAAACUGUGGACGCUGAGGCAGAACAACUUUCUCCAUGCACAGCUCCACUCCCGGCAAGUUCAUCUAUCGGCUAUUGAGGCAUUCCUUCUCUGGUAUUAGAACUCGAUUCUUCAGAUUCCAGUGUAGACUGCAGGAAUCCUCUGGGACUCUAACACCAGACUGGAACUGCUGAGACAUCUAGCCUCAGGGACUGCACAAAUACCAGAUUCUCAGCCUCUCCAUUACAAGACAGCCAUUGUUGACUACUCAGACUACAUCCAGUAGUUCCAGAGUUUAAAAGAGCUCACAUCUUACAGGAUCAACCAAGGGUGAUGGUAGAACAUGAAGACUUCUUAUCUAUUUGGUUAGGCUCUUCAAAGCAGCAAGGAAAGAGUGCAUGCACCUGGAUCCUCCUCGCCAAUAAGGAAACCCAGAGUGCCAUCUCUUUAAGUGAGACACGUAUCAGAACAUGGCAUCGACCCCAGAAAUUGCACAGAGCCAGAGUGUCCCCAGCAUCAACACCUUUCAGGAGAGAAACUGAAUUCAUUUGCCAACAACCAACUCCAUCGGACAGUGCCAGAAAGUACGGGACUGCUUGCGUUCAUUUCUUCGAGAUGAGUCAGGGUUGCAGGGUGUCGAUGAUUAGAUGUAAAUGUUAAACCAAAAGCCCAUGGUGGUCACUUUGGCUUUCCUUCUGUGGAAAUCCAGCUUCUCACUUGGGGGGAAGGGGUUGUGUUACAUGUGAUAUUGGCAUGUUGCUCUGGUUUCCUGAAGCCCCCAUUUUUUGGGUCUCUCUGUGCCCUUCCCAUAUACACAAACACAUUUUCAGGUAAAACAUCUGGAAGGUCCUAUUUCAAAAGAGCAUGGCCAAGAAAAUCUUUCCAUUUGUAAAAAUAAUGUAAACCCUUUAGACUGUAAUGUCCUGCAGAGCAGGGGAAUUAUACAACAGCAAUAAAAUUGUCAGCUUUCAAUAAUCAGCCACAUUUUUUAUGGUAUUUUGUCACUGGGAAAGCACUUUUUAAUAAUCA
rnacentral:lncRNA from 1 species